UUCUUUUUCUUCAGCUCUCUCGCACCAGCUGAGAUAGUAAGAAGUAACUUUCUUUCCUCAGGUAAUGCUGGGGAAGGGCCCUACGGGGUUCCUUUCUUCUUACCUCUAUUUUUGGAAACAGUCUGGUGGGCGCUGGGCUUGCCUAUCUCACCGGUCACAGUGUCGCUUUUAUUGCACUGCCUAAGGCUGACGCGAAGAUCU
rnacentral:snRNA from 1 species